GAUGAACGCUGGCGGCGUGCCUAAUACAUGCAAGUCAAGCGAACGGACGAGAGGCUUGCUUUUCUGAUGUUAGCGGCGGGCGGGUGAGUAACACGUGGAUAACCUACCUAUAAGACUGGGAUAACUUCGGGAAACCGGAGCUAAUACCGGAUAAUAUUUUGAACCGCAUGGUUCAAAAGUGAAAGACGGUCUUGCUGUCACUUAUAGAUGGAUCCGCGCUGCAUUAGCUAGUUGGUAAGGUAACGGCUUACCAAGGCAACGAUGCAUAGCCGACCUGAGAGGGUGAUCGGCCACACUGGAACUGAGACACGGUCCAGACUCCUACGGGAGGCAGCAGUAGGGAAUCUUCCGCAAUGGGCGAAAGCCUGACGGAGCAACGCCGCGUGAGUGAUGAAGGUCUUCGGAUCGUAAAACUCUGUUAUUAGGGAAGAACAUAUGUGUAAGUAACUGUGCACAUCUUGACGGUACCUAAUCAGAAAGCCACGGCUAACUACGUG
rnacentral:rRNA from 1 species